rnacentral:rRNA from 1 species
AAGCAGGGGAUCGUAAGACCUUGCGCUUUUGGAGCGGCCGAUGCCUGAUUAGCUAGUUGGUGGGGUAAAGGCUUACCAAGGCAACGAUCAGUAGUUGGUCUGAGAGGACGACCAGCCACACUGGGACUGAGACACGGCCCAGACUCCUACGGGAGGCAGCAGUGGGGAAUUUUGGACAAUGGGCGCAAGCCUGAUCCAGCAAUGCCGCGUGAGUGAAGAAGGCCUUCGGGUUGUAAAGCUCUUUCAGUCGGGAAGAAAAGGUUGUGACUAAUAAUCACAAUUCAUGACGGUACCGACAGAAGAAGCACCGGCUAACUACGUGCCAGCAGCCGCGGUAAUACGUAGGGUGCAAGCGUUAAUCGGAAUUACUGGGCGUAAAGGGUGCGCAGGCGGCUUUGUAAGUCAGAUGUGAAAUCCCCGGGCUUAACCUGGGAAUUGCGUUUGAAACUACAAGACUAGAGU